rnacentral:rRNA from 1 species
GCGGAGGAAAAGAAACCAACAGGGAUUGCCCUAGUAACGGCGAGUGAAGCGGCAACAGCUCAAAUUUGAAAUCUGGCCUCGGCCCGAGUUGUAAUUUGCAGAGGAAGCUUUAGGCGCGGCACCUUCUGAGUCCCCUGGAACGGGGCGCCAUAGAGGGUGAGAGCCCCGUAUAGUUGGAUGCCUAGCCUGUGUAAAGCUCCUUCGACGAGUCGAGUAGUUUGGGAAUGCUGCUCAAAAUGGGAGGUAAAUUUCUUCUAAAGCUAAAUACCGGCCAGAGACCGAUAGCGCACAAGUAGAGUGAUCGAAAGAUGAAAAGCACUUUGAAAAGAGGGUUAAAAAGCACGUGAAAUUGUUGAAAGGGAAGCGCUUAUGACCAGACUUGCGCCGGGCUGAUCAUCCGGUGUUCUCACCGGUGCACUCGGCCCGGCACAGGCCAGCAUCGGUUCUCGCGGGGGGAUAAAGGUUCCGGGAACGUAGCUCCUCCGGGAGUGUUAUAGCCCGGGGCGUAAUGCCCUCGCGGGGACCGAGGUUCGCGCAUCUGCAAGGAUGCUGGCGUAAUGGUCAUCAGCGACCCGUCUUGAAACACGGACCAAGGAGUCAAGGUUUUGCGCGAGUGUUUGGGUGUCAAACCCGCACGCGUAAUGAAAGUGAACGUAGGUGAGAGCUUCGGCGCAUCAUCGACCGAUCCUGAUGUUUUCGGAUGGAUUUGAGUAGGAGCGUUAAGCCUUGGACCCGAAAGAUGGUGAACUAUGCUUGGAUAGGGUGAAGCCAGAGGAAACUCUGGUGGAGGCUCGCAGCGGUUCUGACGUGCAAAUCGAUCGUCAAAUCUGAGCAUGGGGGCGAAAGA